UGGGGAAUAUUGGACAAUGGGCGCAAGCCUGAUCCAGCCAUGCCGCGUGAGUGACGAAGGCCUUAGGGUUGUAAAGCUCUUUUAGCGGGGACGAUAAUGACGGUACCCGCAGAAUAAGCCCCGGCUAACUUCGUGCCAGCAGCCGCGGUAAUACGAAGGGGGCUAGCGUUGUUCGGAAUUACUGGGCGUAAAGCGCACGUAGGCGGAUGUGCCAGUCAGGGGUGAAAUCCCGAGGCUCAACCUCGGAACUGCCUCCGAUACAGCACGUCUCGAGUCCGGAAGAGGUGAGUGGAAUUCCUAGUGUAGAGGUGAAAUUCGUAGAUAUUAGGAAGAACACCAGUGGCGAAGGCGGCCCACUGGAUCGGUACUGACGCUGAGGUGCGAAAGCGUGGGGAGCAAACAGGAUUAGAUACCCUAGUAGUCCCUGAGCGGGCUGGCAAGGCGCAU
rnacentral:rRNA from 1 species